rnacentral:tRNA from 1 species
ACUCCCAUAGUUCAACGGAUAGAAUGAGUUGUUGCGAACGACUAGACGAAAGUUCGAUUCUUUCUGGGAGUA